GAUGAAGAACGUAGCGAAAUGCGAUAAGUAAUGUGAAUUGCAGAAUUCAGUGAAUCAUCGAAUCUUUGAACGCACCUUGCACCCUUUGGCAUUCCGAAGGGUAUGCUCGUUUGAGUGUCAUUGUACUCUCACACUCUCCGAUCCUAUGGAUUCGGGGAGCGGUGGACUUGGGUGUUGCUGCCUUUCCCUGUGACUCACCUCAAAUGCGUCAGUGCACCUCUUGGUUGGACAUAGUACGGCGUGAUAAGUGUCUUCGCCGGCACCUCGCAAGAGGGUGGCCGAUCGGGAGCUCUGCGCUUUCAAACCGUCUUCGGACAAUUUCUGACAUCUUGACCUCAAAUCGAGUAGGACUACCCGCUGAACUUAAGCAUAUCAAUAAGCGGAGGA
rnacentral:misc_RNA from 1 species